GAUGAACGCUGGCGGCGUGCCUAAUACAUGCAAGUCGAGCGAACGGACGAGAAGCUUGCUUCUCUGAUGUUAGCGGCGGACGGGUGAGUAACACGUGGAUAACCUACCUAUAAGACUGGGAUAACUUCGGGAAACCGGAGCUAAUACCGGAUAAUAUUUUGAACCGCAUGGUUCAAAAGUGAAAGACGGUCUUGCUGUCACUUAUAGAUGGAUCCGCGCUGCAUUAGCUAGUUGGUAAGGUAACGGCUUACCAAGGCAACGAUGCAUAGCCGACCUGAGAGGGUGAUCGGCCACACUGGAACUGAGACACGGUCCAGACUCCUACGGGAGGCAGCAGUAGGGAAUCUUCCGCAAUGGGCGAAAGCCUGACGGAGCAACGCCGCGUGAGUGGUGAAGGUCUUCGGAUCGUAAAACUCUGUUAUUAGGGAAGAACAUAUGUGUAAGUAACUGUGCACAUCUUGACGGUACCUAAUCAGAAAGCCACGGCUAACUACGUGCCAGCAGCCGCGGUAAUACGUAGGUGGCAAGCGUUAUCCGGAAUUAUUGGGCGUAAAGCGCGCGUAGGCGGUUUUUUAAGUCUGAUGUGAAAGCCCACGGCUCAACCGUGGAGGGUCAUUGGAAACUGGAAAACUUGAGUGCAGAAGAGGAAAGUGGAAUUCCAUGUGUAGCGGUGAAAUGCGCAGAGAUAUGGAGGAACACCAGUGGCGAAGGCGACUUUCUGGUCUGUAACUGACGCUGAUGUGCGAAAGCGUGGGGAUCAAACAGGAUUAGAUACCCUGGUAGUCCACGCCGUAAACGAUGAGUGCUAAGUGUUAGGGGGUUUCCGCCCCUUAGUGCUGCAGCUAACGCAUUAAGCACUCCGCCUGGGGAGUACGACCGCAAGGUUGAAACUCAAAGGAAUUGACGGGGACCCGCACAAGCGGUGGAGCAUGUGGUUUAAUUCGAAGCAACGCGAAGAACCUUACCAAAUCUUGACAUCCUCUGACCCCUCUAGAGAUAGAGGUUUCCCCUUCGGGGGACAGAGUGACAGGUGGUGCAUGGUUGUCGUCAGCUCGUGUCGUGAGAUGUUGGGUUAAGUCCCGCAACGAGCGCAGCCCUUAAGCUUAGUUGCCAUCAUUAAGUUGGGCACUCUAAGUUGACUGCCGGUGACAAACCGGAGGAAGGUGGGGAUGACGUCAAAUCAUCAUGCCCCUUAUGAUUUGGGCUACACACGUGCUACAAUGGACAAUACAAAGGGCAGCGAAACCGCGAGGUCAAGCAAAUCCCAUAAAGUUGUUCUCAGUUCGGAUUGUAGUCUGCAACUCGACUAUAUGAAGCUGGAAUCGCUAGUAAUCGUAGAUCAGCAUGCUACGGUGAAUACGUUCCCGGGUCU
rnacentral:rRNA from 1 species